rnacentral:rRNA from 1 species
CUGGCUCAGGAUGAACGCUGGCGGCGUGCUUAACACAUGCAAGUCGAACGAUGAAGCCCAGCUUGCUGGGUGGAUUAGUGGCGAACGGGUGAGUAACACGUGAGUAACCUGCCCUUAACUCUGGGAUAAGCCUGGGAAACUGGGUCUAAUACCGGAUAGGAGCGUCCACCGCAUGGUGGGUGUUGGAAAGAUUUAUCGGUUUUGGAUGGACUCGCGGCCUAUCAGCUUGUUGGUGAGGUAAUGGCUCACCAAGGCGACGACGGGUAGCCGGCCUGAGAGGGUGACCGGCCACACUGGGACUGAGACACGGCCCAGACUCCUACGGGAGGCAGCAGUGGGGAAUAUUGCACAAUGGGCGCAAGCCUGAUGCAGCGACGCCGCGUGAGGGAUGACGGCCUUCGGGUUGUAAACCUCUUUCAGUAGGGAAGAAGCGAAAGUGACGGUACCUGCAGAAGAAGCACCGGCUAACUACGUGCCAGCAGCCGCGGUAAUACGUAGGGUGCGAGCGUUAUCCGGAAUUAUUGGGCGUAAAGAGCUCGUAGGCGGUUUGUCGCGUCUGUCGUGAAAGUCCGGGGCUUAACCCCGGAUCUGCGGUGGGUACGGGCAGACUAGAGUGCAGUAGGGGAGACUGGAAUUCCUGGUGUAGCGGUGGAAUGCGCAGAUAUCAGGAGGAACACCGAUGGCGAAGGCAGGUCUCUGGGCUGUAACUGACGCUGAGGAGCGAAAGCAUGGGGAGCGAACAGGAUUAGAUACCCUGGUAGUCCAUGCCGUAAACGUUGGGCACUAGGUGUGGGGACCAUUCCACGGUUUCCGCGCCG